UCUCCCCUCUUCAUGUCCAAAGAGUUGGACAUCCAUCUAGCAAAGGUCCAAGGUGUGGUGGCGCCUGGAACAGAGGGCUGCAGGACAUCUUCGACAGGCUGCUGCUCUAACUUCAGAAGGAGUUCUGAAGCACUUCCAGAUCAGAUAGAGUUCUGAUUUUUGGAGUAUAGAUUUGUGAGGAGAAGAUAUUCUAGGUCUUGCCUGAGUGGAUACUGGUAGAGGUUAGGCACUUGCGUGGCUACAUCAGAACCUCGGGCUGUGCAGAGAUCAUCUACAGGGUAAUCAGAUUACCCUUGAGG
rnacentral:lncRNA from 1 species